rnacentral:piRNA from 1 species
UCUGUCAUUUCAGGGUGUUUUGUUCAUGCU